rnacentral:lncRNA from 1 species
CUGGAAUUCAAUAUUACAUCAAUUACAUAUGUUGAACAACUAGAUAUGUAAUGGUCGUUGUUCAAGCAAAUAAGAAAAAUUUGAAAAUCCGUCUACAAAAUCUUGUUUCUUUUCUUAUUUUAAUUCUUUAAAAAGAAUACUCAAGAAGUUGAAUCAUUCUUGGCACUUGUUGGAGAAGCUGGUGGCGGAUGAUCGGCACCACCACCAGAAAAGUGCUUUUCGUUCAACGAGCACGUGCCGGCGCUUGAAGCGGGAAGCCCGGGAAUGUAAGUGCAAGGAGAACCACCAGACGGUGGCACUGGACCCCUAGGAAGAGAAGCCAAUAAUGGAACUUGUUCCCUAAGCCAUUUCUCCAUGCCCAAAGAUCUUAUAGCAUUUGCUUCUUGAAAAGAUAGUGAAACCAAAAAAGUGCAGAAAAUUAGAAAAUAAGUAGUUUUAAUAGAAACCAUCUUUGAAUACAACAUAAACCUUGUACUUUUCUGUAAGUUAAGAAUAAGCAGAAAAGGG